AGGUGGGAGGCUUGUUUGAGCCUGGGAGGUGGAGGUUGCAGUGAGCUGAGAUCUCACCACUGCACUCCAGCCUGGGUGACAGAGUGAGACCCUGUCUC
rnacentral:miRNA from 1 species